rnacentral:rRNA from 1 species
GAUGAACGCUGGCGGCGUGCCUAAUACAUGCAAGUCGAGCGAACGGACGAGAAGCUUGCUUCUCUGAUGUUAGCGGCGGACGGGUGAGUAACACGUGGAUAACCUACCUAUAAGCCUGGGAUAACUUCGGGAAACCGUAGCUAAUACCGGAUAAUAUUUUGAGUCGCAUGGCUUUAACGUGAAAGACGGUCUUGCUGUCCCUUAUAGAUGGCUCCUCGCUUCAUUAGCUGGUGGGUAAGGAAACGCCUUCCCAAGGCAACAAUGCAUAGCCGACCUGGGAGGGUGAUCGGCCACACUGGAACUGAGACACGGUCCAGACUCCUACGGGAGGCAGCAGUAGGGAAUCUUCCGCAAUGAGCGAAAGCCGGACGGAGCAACGCCGCGGGAGUGAUGAAGGUCUUCGGAUCUUAAAAUUCUGUUAUUAGGGAAGAACAUAUGUGGAAGUAACUGUGCACAUCGUGACGGUACCUAAUCAGAAAGCCACGGCUAACUACGUG